AGAAAGUUAGCUCAUUAUGGCAAGAGCGCUUGCUUAGAAAGCAGGAGAUUGCAGGUUCAAAUCCCGCACUUUCAA
rnacentral:tRNA from 1 species